rnacentral:rRNA from 1 species
UACAGACAGUGCGGGCGUUAUUCGGAUUGACUGGGCGUAAAGGGUACGUAGGUCGCACAAAUAACUCUGUUCGAAAAGCUAGAGGAUAACUGUAGACAGGAACAGACAGAUUUUUGAGCUCCGAGUCAAGUAGAGGUGGGAAGAACUUUUAGUGUAAGGGUAAAAUCUAACGAUAUUAGAAGGACUGCCGAGUGCGAAAGCAUCCCUCCAGCCGAGACUGACGCUGAGGUACGAAGGCAUGGGUAGCAAACAGG